AACGAAGGGGGCAAGCGUUAUUCGGAAUUACUGGGCGUAAAGCGCACGCAGGCGGACACUUAAGUCAGGGGUGAAAUCCCGCGGCUCAACCUCGGAACUGCCUAUGAGACUGUGAGUCUAGAGACCGGUAGAGGGGAGUGGAAUUCCUAGUGUAGAGGUGAAAUUCGUAGAUAUUAGGAGGAACACCAGUGGCGAAGGCGGCUCACUGGUCCGGUUCUGACGCUGAGGUGCGAAAGCGUGGGGAGCAAACAGG
rnacentral:rRNA from 1 species